GUGGGGAAUCUUGCGCAAUGGGCGAAAGCCUGACGCAGCCAUGCCGCGUGAAUGAUGAAGGUCUUAGGAUUGUAAAAUUCUUUCACCGGGGACGAUAAUGACGGUACCCGGAGAAGAAGCUCCGGCUAACUUCGUGCCAGCAGCCGCGGUAAUACGAAGGGGGCUAGCGUUGCUCGGAAUUACUGGGCGUAAAGGGCGCGUAGGCGGACAGCUUAGUCAGAGGUGAAAGCCCAGGGGUCAACCUUGGAAUUGCCUUUGAUACUGGCUGUCUUGAGUUUGGGAGAGGUGAGUGGAACUCCGAGUGUAGAGGUGAAAUUCGUAGAUAUUCGGAAGAACACCAGUGGCGAAGGCGACUCACUGGCCCAAUACUGACGCUGAGGCGCGAAAGCGUGGGGAGCAAACAGGAUUAGAUACCCUGGUAGUCC
rnacentral:rRNA from 1 species